rnacentral:rRNA from 1 species
UUAUUGAACGCUGGCGGAAUGCUUUACACAUGCAAGUCGAACGGCAGCAUAGGUGCUUGCACCUGAUGGCGAGUGGCGAACGGGUGAGUAAUACAUCGGAACGUGCCCAGUCGUGGGGGAUAACGUAGCGAAAGUUACGCUAAUACCGCAUACGAUCUACGGAUGAAAGCGGGGGACCGUAAGGCCUCGCGCGAUUGGAGCGGCCGAUGUUAGAUUAGGUAGUUGGUGGGGUAAAGGCUCACCAAGCCGACGAUCUAUAGCUGGUCUGAGAGGAUGAUCAGCCACACUGGGACUGAGACACGGCCCAGACUCCUACGGGAGGCAGCAGUGGGGAAUUUUGGACAAUGGGCGCAAGCCUGAUCCAGCCAUUCCGCGUGCAGGACGAAGGCCUUCGGGUUGUAAACUGCUUUUGUACAGAACGAAAAGCUCUGGGUUAAUACCCUGGGGUCAUGACGGUACUGUAAGAAUAAGCACCGGCUAACUACGUG